rnacentral:misc_RNA from 1 species
AUUUCAUGACUACCAACUACACUAUUUAUUCACAAUCUAGUUUAAGUACAAACAUGGUACAAACCAUAGUGAAAAUAAAUCUGGCAACAAUGCUUUAAUAUAAACAUAACCUCUGCGUAAGGCCUCCCGCGACUUUAUGAAAUAUCCACGAAAAUGUUACGUACUUCAGACGUAAAUAUCUUAAAAUAAUAUGUUGGGAAAGAUGUGGUUAUGGAUGUGAAGGAAGAGGAGGAAAAGGAUGGGUGGAAAGAAUUGAACCCUGGAAGACGCGCUACCUGCGUACAUUAAAUCCCCGUGUUCCAUCUGGUCCAAUAGGCAUACGAAGAACAUUACUUGGU